UUUAACGAGGUGUAUAGGCAUUCUACAUUUUGGUUGUAGAGGUGGCUAGUUGCCCGUUAAUU
rnacentral:tRNA from 2 species